rnacentral:rRNA from 1 species
CCUACGGGGGGCAGCAGUGAGGAAUAUUGGUCAAUGGACGAGAGUCUGAACCAGCCAAGUAGCGUGAAGGAUGACUGCCCUAUGGGUUGUAAACUUCUUUUAUAUGGGAAUAAAAUGUUCCACGUGUGGGAUUUUGUAUGUACCAUAUGAAUAAGGAUCGGCUAACUCCGUGCCAGCAGCCGCGGUAAUACGGAGGAUCCGAGCGUUAUCCGGAUUUAUUGGGUUUAAAGGGAGCGUAGGUGGAUUGUUAAGUCAGUUGUGAAAGUUUGCGGCUCAACCGUAAAAUUGCAGUUGAAACUGGCAGUCUUGAGUACAGUAGAGGUGGGCGGAAGGCGUGGUGUAGCGGUGAAAUGCUUAGAUAUCACGAAGAACUCCGAUUGCGAAGGCAGUUCACUGGACUGCAACUGACACUGAGGCUCGAAAGUGUGGGUAUCAAACAGGAUUAGAUACCCCUGUAGUC